GCGCCCGUAGCUCAACUGGAUAGAGCAACGGCCUUCUAAGCCGUAGGUUUCGUGUUCGAGUCACGACGGGCGUACAA
rnacentral:tRNA from 1 species